GAUGAACGCUGGCGGCGUGCCUAAUACAUGCAAGUCGAGCGAACGGACGAGAAGCUUGCUUUUCUGAUGUUAGCGGCGGACGGGUGAGUAACACGUGGAUAACCUACCUAUAAGACUGGGAUAACUUCGGGAAACAGGAGCUAAUACCGGAUAAUAUUUUGAACCGCAUGGUUCAAAAGUGAAAGACGGUCUUGCUGUCACUUAUAGAUGGAUCCGCGCUGCAUUAGCUAGUUGGUAAGGUAACGGCUUACCAAGGCAACGAUGCAUAGCCGACCUGAGAGGGUGAUCGGCCACACUGGAACUGAGACACGGUCCAGACUCCUACGGGAGGCAGCAGUAGGGAAUCUUCCGCAAUGGGCGAAAGCCUGACGGAGCAACGCCGCGUGAGUGAUGAAGGUCUUCGGAUCGUAAAACUCUGGUAUUAGGGAAGAACAUAUGUGUAAGUAACUGUGCACAUCUUGACGGUACCUAAUCAGAAAGCCACGGCUAACUACGUG
rnacentral:rRNA from 1 species